CAGUAGCCGCGGUAAUACAGAGGGUGCAAGCGUUAAUCGGAAUUACUGGGCGUAAAGCGUGCGCAGGCGGUUAUAUAAGACAGAUGUGAAAUCCCCGGGCUCAACCUGGGAACUGCAUUUGUGACUGUAUAGCUAGAGUACGGCAGAGGGGGAUGGAAUUCCGCGUGUAGCAGUGAAAUGCGUAGAUAUGCGGAGGAACACCGAUGGCGAAGGCAAUCCCCUGGGCCUGUACUGACGCUCAUGCACGAAAGCGUGGGGAGCAAACAGGAUUAGAUACCCCAGUAGUCCCUGUCUCUUAUAA
rnacentral:rRNA from 1 species